rnacentral:rRNA from 1 species
AGAGUUGAUCAUGGCUCAGGAUGAACGCUGGCGGCGCGCUAACACAUGCAAGUCGAACGGUUAAGGCACCCUCGGGUGCGAAUAGAGUGGCGAACGGCUGAGUAACACGUGGGCAACCUGCCCCCCGCACCGGGAUAGCCUCGGGAAACCGUGGGUAAUACCGGAUACUCCGGGACCUCCGCAUGGCGGUCCCGGGAAAGCAAUGCACGGCGGGGGAUGGGCCCGCGGCCUGUUAGCUCGUUGGCGGGGUAACGGCCCACCAAGGCGAUUAUGGGUAGCCGGGUUGAGAGACCGACCGGCCAGAUUGGGACUGAGACACGGCCCAGACUCCUACGGGAGGCAGCAGUGGGGAAUCUUGCACAAUGGGCGAAAGCCUGAUGCAGCCGACGCCGCGUGCGGGAAGAAGGCAUUCGUGUUGUAAACCGCUUUCAGCAGGGACGAGGCGCAAGUGACGGUACCUGCAGAAGAAGCCCCGGCUAACUACGUGCCAGCCGCGGC